UACGUAGGGUGCGAGCGUUGUCCGGAAUUAUUGGGCGUAAAGAGCUUGUAGGCGGUUUGUCGCGUCUGGUGUGAAAAUCCGGGGCUCAACCCCGGACUUGCAGUGGGUACGGGCAGACUAGAGUGUGGUAGGGGAGACUGGAAUUCCUGGUGUAGCGGUGAAAUGCGCAGAUAUCAGGAGGAACACCGAUGGCGAAGGCAGGUCUCUGGGCCACUACUGACGCUGAGAAGCGAAAGCAUGGGGAGCGAACAGG
rnacentral:rRNA from 1 species